UUUCUAAAUCUCGGAUGCUAGAAGUUCAGGAUACUAACACAGAAUCUACAAACCAUAAAGAUUUCAAAACAGAUGAUGACGCUGUAAAGACGAGAAAAGAAUCAGAAUUUCCGACAGACAUAAAGAAGCCCAUGCCUAGUUUAACUACAACCAACUUAUAUAGAGCAGAUGAAUAUAAACCAGGAUAUCCUGUGUAUGACGGAGUGGAUCAAAAUAAAGAGAAGUGGUGAAAAUAAAUUAGAUGUGGACAAAAUGUUUCAAAGCAAACUACUAUUACCUCCGGUAAACGAAGAGAAGAUCCUGAUUUUUUUUCAACAUCACAUAUAUCUUUCUUGAUUGAUUGAUUGUGACGCUCUUGAUUUUUU